UGCUCCUUCUUUGCUGGGCUGACUGACAGACCCUGAAUGAUGGAUGAAUGAUUACUCUAACACACGCUUCUGUGAAAGAGAGGGCUAAGGCACUACUUGGCUAUUGCUGCCAAGUAGCCCUGUUCACCUGCCUCUUUUGGCUUUUAUUGUCAUAACAGCUUGAACUAAAAUUAAGCUCUAGAUACAA